UACGGGGGGGGCAAGCGUUGUUCGGAAUUACUGGGCGUAAAGGGCUCGUAGGCGGCCAACUAAGUCGGAUGUGAAAUCCCCAGGCUCAACUUGGGAACUGCAUCCGAUACUGGAUGGCUUGAAUUCGGGAGAGGGAUGCAGAAUUCCAGGUGUAGCGGUGAAAUGCGUAGAUAUCUGGAGGAAUACCGGUGGCGAAGGCAGGUCUCUGGGCCACUACUGACGCUGAGAAGCGAAAGCAUGGGGAGCGAACAGG
rnacentral:rRNA from 1 species